CACGGGCCUGGACGUUCUCUCAAGGACGGAGGAGGAAGGCUUUUAAAGCAUAGAUGCUCAUGAAAUUUACAGGGCUCAGAAGUUCUGGGAUCUUAGUGGAUUCAGAAAUCACAGACUGCGACAUGGACCAUGGGGCUCUUCCCCAGGAUUAUAAAAACAGUAACAAUGGCUAGGGACAGGGAAGCCUCGCUGAUGGAGCUGCCUGCAAGCUGGGCAGGGGGUACUAAGGAUGCAGUUUUCCAGGAAAGUGGCCUUGUCAGUCAUGCAUAGGAGUCACCUAUGCUACUGAAAAGUCACAGACUACUAACAGAUGGCUCCUCCCAUGCACCCUCUUCCCCAUGGGACCCACUCUUGGGUGGCCGACACCCACCGAAGCCUUUCAUGGCUGUAUACAAAGCCUCAGCAUCCUGAUUUGCAUCAAAGUCUGGGAAGUCAUGGAUGGAGCCUCGGUACAUCGUGCCCUGUGGAGAGAAAAGCAGAGGUGAGCCCUUUCCACGACAGAACACCGGGAAGGUUCUCUCCAGAUCCCAGGACUCCUCGGCCCUCCCUCAAUCUGUAAGUUUUACCAACUUACCUGAAAAAGAUGCUCAAGACUGGUUAAAACUGGCUUCUCUCUCCUCAGAGCCCUAAGUCUCUUUCAUCUGACCACCCAAGCAACUGAACCGUUCCUGAAAACCCCUCCCUCUGGACAGUGACCUGGAUGGCUUCUUCCUGGGUGGCUAUCUCCAUUGCCCUGCCUGGUAGCUGGUGACCACUGUGGUCUUUGGUGGGGGUGGGGGCAGGGGCAGGGUCCUAUUGCCCAACCGAGAGAAUGGACAGGGGUCACUGUGUCUCCUGAGCUCUGACUUAUGUAAUAAGUUGUUUAAACUGAAUCUCAGUUUGUGUAUCUGCAAAGACAUUGGAAUUCCAAUGUGAACUGUGACACAGCAGAUGAAAAAUGCUUAGUCUGUCACACAGAAAAAAAAAAAACAAUAAAUGAUCGUUUUUAUUGGGCUAAGUUUAACAUGGCAAGUAAUGAAGGCUUUGAAGUCAAGAUCCCCAAGUUCAAAUCCUGACACUGCAAACACCUUGUUCAGGACUUUGAACCACUUGAGUUGCUUCCCUCUCUGCCUCAGUUUAGAAAUUUCCUACUUAGACAUGGGAACUCUGUAAGGUUUUCUUUGCAAGAUAGUGUGCAAAAACCACCCUUUCUGAGGGAGACCAAAAGAGCCUGCCUGAAAGUAAUUGAAAUGCUUUUUUACAAUUUAUUUAUGUGUAUGACUGUUUUGCCUGCACGUAUGGAAGUGUACCCCAUGUGUAUCUGGUGCUUAAAGAGGUCAGAAGAGGGCGUGGG